rnacentral:lncRNA from 1 species
AUGUUUCAAUAUAUUAGUUAAUAGGAAAAAAAAACCUUGAGAAGUAUAACUGAUAUAACCAAAAGAAAAGCAGGCAACACACACUGUCUAUGAGAGCUACCAGAUUUUCAAUUUAACAACAGUAAACAAGAAAUCAAAGUAUCUCUCAUAAACAUGCUCACAGAAUUAAAUAAAAGCAUGAUAAAGGAAGCAAAAGAAGGUAUAACAAUGUCAUUAAGUCAGAAUAUUAACAUAAUGAUAAAAAUAAUAAACACUAAUCACAUGGAAAUUUUGCAGUUAAAGAGUACAAUAACUGAAUAAAGUAAAAUCAUUAGAGGCACUUGCCAGUAGAUUUUAACUGGUAGAUUAGAACAAAAGAAUUAAGAGAAAUAUAAAAGUUAGUGAACUUGAAUAUAUAUUUAAAGAAGUGAAUUAAGCUAAAGAACAGUAACAACAAAAAUUGAAGAAAGUCCAAUAGAACAUCUAAGAAAUAAGAAAGCUGGAUUUAAGGUAGUGGGAUAACAGAUUAAAAACGUUUAAAAACAACAUAAUAUUUUACCUAGAAUUCUAUAUUCAGUCAAAUUAGCUUUCAAAGAGAGACAAAAUUAAAAUAUGUAUGAUAAAGCCAAGAGCAAACACUGACAUUUUUUUUCAAAAAUCAUACAGUGAAAUAAGCAUUAAAAGGGAUCAUAGACCUAUAUGUAAGUGAGAAAUAAUAAAACUCCUAGAGCUGGGUGUGGUAGUGCACACCUGUAAUCCCAGCAGCUUCGAGGGUGAGCCAGGAGGAGCAA